UCCUUCAAACAUAUUCACAGAAAAAUGGAUGAAAGGCCCUUGAGACAUAUCUAGAAAGACCACAAAGUCUCUAGAAAGAACAUUUCUGUAAGAAUUCUACAGACAAAACAGAAGGGCAAGUGGUGGGAGGAUGUGAAAAGCAAAACAAAAACAGAAAAUCACCCUUGAAAUGGGAAAAAGAUCAAAGGAAAUGGAAUUCUAAGUAAAUACUAUGAAAUAGAAUAAUAAGGCUGAAAAUUCAACAUGUGUUGAAUACCUACCAAGUGUUGGACACUGUGUUACGUCCAGGAAGUAAAGUAGUGAAUGCAACAAAAGAGUCGACCUUCAUGAGCUGAAUGUCUAGUGAGAAGCAGGCCUUGCACAAAUAUCUACCCUCGUGGUGACAGAUGGGCAGGAGGAAUGUGGUAGUGAUGGGAGUUCGAAGGAAAAUCCUUGGUCUACCUGGAACAUCUGGAAAGUCUUACCUGAGAAAAGGAGGCUUAAGCUCAGAACUGAAAGGUCCUACCUUGACCUCGGCUGUGAUGUGGGAACAAUCAUGUCUGUCUGCCAUUUUACCUCAGUUCCAGCACCUGGCCAGGUGUGAGGUGCUGUGCGGCUGCUGGGAAGGGGAAAUCAGAGAUGCACACAGCCUUUUCUGCAGCCCAAAGGACAAGUAACUAGAUUGAGAAUAAAAGGACGAAAGAUCUUGGCAGUGCACUUUCGUUUAUUAGGCCCCCACCUGCCUGAGUGUGCUCUGAUCUCUGAAUGAAAAUAUUUUCAUCUCUGGAUCCUUUAGUGCAACCUGAAGACAAGAAUUUCAGACGCUCAGAAUUUGUCGUCUAAUUAUGUGUUGCCUGAGUGAGACCUACAUGGAGGUAUGCUUAAGGUCCCCAGCAUGGAAGUACAUCAGUGAAUGGCUUACCAGUACCCUGGAAGUCAGGGCAGUUUUACCAAAGAAAGAAAGAAUUUUAUUCUGUUCCAAGAAACAACCUGCAGCUCCUCCCCUGCUUUUACCAUGGGGAAUGAAGAUGUAGAUUAUUUGAGAAGAAACCACAACAGCAAUAAGAUCAUCAGAAAGGAUUAUCAGAGCUGACUUGAGAAUCACAGAAAUCAAGUUUGCACCUAUUGGACAUGCUUGGGAGCUUUCCCACAUAUACAUAGAGGUCUCUUCCUUUCCCCAGUUCUUCAGCAGCAGAGAAUGGUGAACUCCUUAACUGUCAGAGCAUCAGUACCUUUAGAUGAGCUGAGCAUAAGAUGCCAGAGGUGCUUCUGGACUCCUCCCCUUUUAUCAGCUCCCCAGAAAGCUGGGGGCAAGCAGGAGGCAGCAGUGCUCAACUGGAAACUGGUCUUCAUUUAGAAUAAAAGAAGGGGGCACCUGUACUGUAGUAAGUCAGUAGGGGGGGAAGUCGAAGAAUUAGGCAGCUGAUUUGAAGAGUAUAAUCAAGUACCACAGUAAAAGUCAACACAGCAGGCUAUGCAGUACAUGAGAUCAAGCAGCAAGUGAGAUUCUCUGGAAAUGAUGGGCAAUAAGCAAUGCCACUGUGAAAUCGUGGUCAGCCAGCACUGAAAAGUAGAUUUCCUUGCAUUACUGUAGGUGAUCUGCUGCUUACCAGCUUGCAAAUUAUUUUUCUCUCUUUCUGAAGAUUGUGACUCUGGGUGUUCUCCUUGUCCUUUUACUGCCCCCCUUGAUUUCCAUACAGUGUGCUCUCAAGAUGUAACCAAGUAAACUCUGAACAGCAGUCUCAGCAGGAAAAUGUUUUCUCUCCCAGAGGACAUAUGGCUUCAAGACAAAGAUGGGCUCAAUUUGCAUUUCUGUUGACAACCAAUUUUAAGUGCCCAUGAAAAACCCCUUGGUGUUGCCAUUCUGGCAGAAGGCUGGGCAUUGUCUGCCUAAGUACUUCCUUACUCUGUGAGUUGCAGUUACCAGAUGCAACAGAGAAACCACUGGGUCAGUCUGUUUCAUUCUUUGCUCUCCUUUUUUCUAGAAGUGACUAGGUAUUGUGUAAGAUGGAUGUCAACAAACUUCCUCAUUGAGAUAUUUGCUGAACACUCCAUACAGUGGACACUUGUCCUUACUCACUUGUUUUGGGCUGUUUAUCCUCAGUGGUUCCAAAAAGCAUGUGUGUGUCAGUAUUGGGCAGGUGCCUUACAGAUGGGACAGGACGGAAGACAUUCAUGCUCACCAGAAUUAUUCUUUGGAAAGAAGAGCUGUUCGGAAAGACGUUUUGAUAUGAUGGCAGCUAGCUUAGCCAGCUUCAGUGUGCGUAGACCUUAUUCUUAGUUACUACUAAUGCAAAGGGCCUUUGCACAAGCUAUUUUUUCAUAUUGUGUGGAUCUGACUUUGGAGCCAGCUUGUAAAGUGUAAACCCCAUCAUUCACUGAUUCUAUGAUCUGGGGCGAAUUAUUUGACCAGUCACACCUUGAUUUUCUCUCUCUUAUAAUUAGGCUUAACAAAAGUAGUUCUAUUACUUGGUUGUGAAAAUGAAAGUGGUAUACAUAUAAAACCAACAGAACAGUGUGUAGCACAUAGUAACACAUGUAAAUGUUCUAUUUAAUGUCUGUCUUAAACAUUCUAAUCCUCAUUCUUCCUUCAAAUUUCACUCUAAAUUCCAUUUCCUCAGGGACACUUUCCCAUCACAUAGGAAGGUUUGCAAACAUGCUGCUUUUGCAGUCGUAUGUUCUAGCAUUGUAUACCCAGUUCAUGACACAGGGUCUAGCACACAGCAGGUUCUUGACAAUUUUUUGCCAAAUGCAUGAGUGAAUGAUUCACACACAGAAAUGUUAAAAAGCAACUAAAUUGAUAAAUUUUAUUGAAUUCAAAAAAUAUACUGAUCACUAAUUCUGUAUCAGACCCUGAGCUAGAAAUUGGUCAGGAAAAGAUGGUUCCUGCCCUCAGGAAGUCUCUGUAAGAGGUUGUCAGCUAUAUAUCAUAUAAAUCAUAGCACACUAGAAUGAAGUCUAUUUAAGCCAAGUGCCCACCCAGUACUCUGUCAUGCUAACAACAAGCAAGUUUAAGUGGCUGGGGUAAUUUUUGCUUCACGGAUAUUAUGGAAAUUGGAAAUGAUACAGAUUAGAGAUGGAUGUUCCCCCAAAGCUCAUACAUGAGACAGUGCAAGAAUUUUCAGAGGUGAUAUGAUUAGAUCAUAAGAGAUUGCAACUUACUCAGUGCAUUAAAUCACCAAUAUGGAUGGGAACUGUAGGCAGGUAGGGCGGGGUUGGAGGAAAUAGGUCACAUGCAGUGAGACUUUGGGGUUUUUAUUUUGUCCCUGGUGAGCAGAGCUCUCUUCUUUUGAGUUGGCCAUAGCCUGAGCUGCUUUCCUUAGCCACAGCCUUCUGCCAUGAUGGUCUGCUUCACCUUGGGCCCAGAGUAACAGAGUAGGAUGACUGAACCACAAAACCAUGGAUGAAAAUAAACUUUUCCUUCUCUACCUUGUUCUUCUCAGGUCUUUUGAUCACAGAGAUGCAGAGCUGACUAAAAGAGAAAGCUUAAUGAGUUAGUAAUUAAGGUAUACAUGAUGCCAUUGGGCCUAUAAACAAAUAAAUAAAUAAAAUGAAAUAAUCAGAAUUCUCAUUCUGAAAAAAUAAUUAUUUCAUUUAUAUUUCUUUGGGUCUUUAUCAUUACACAUCAUUUUUUUAAUGAUCUUCUGUAUCACUGCAUAAUUUUUGUUCCUAUUUUAGUAGAUGAGAGGAAAUGUACAACCCUUAUAAUAACCCAGUGAGGACUGAAUCUCAGACUUUUCAUUCCAGUCACCUGGUCUUCUGUGAUGCAGCAAAAUGAAUGGAAGAUGCCUCCCCAGCCCUGAGUACCACUCUGCCUCCCAAUGUUAAGUGCUCAAAUUUGGCAUCUGGGGUUGCUCAGGAUCUGUUAUGGUUUAGAUAUAAAGUGUCCUCUAAAAGCUCAUGCAUGAGACAAUGCAAGAAUUUUCAGAUAGUGAAGUUAUUAGAGUAUGUGGUAUAACUUUAUCAGUGGAUCCACUGAUAUGGAUUAACUGGGUAGCAACUGUAGGCACACAGGGUAUGGCUCAAGGAGAUAGGUCACUGGGGGUAGGCCUUUGGAGUUUAUAUUUUGUCCCCGGUGAGUGGAGUUCUCUCUGCUCCCUGUUGCUAUAUCCUGAGCUGUUUUCCUCUGCCAUGUUCUUCCACCAUGAUGUUCUCUGCCCCACUUUGGGCCCAGUUCUAUGAAGUCAGUCAUUUGUGGACUGAGACCUCUGAAACUGUGAGCCAAAAUAAACUUUUCCUCUUGUAA